UACGGAGGGGGCAAGCGUUGUUCGGAAUUACUGGGCGUAAAGGGCUCGUAGGCGGCCAACUAAGUCGGAGGUGAAAUCCCUCGGCUCAACUGAGGAAUUGCCUUCGAUACUGUUCGGCUUGAGUCCUGGAGAGGGUAGCGGAAUUCCCGGUGUAGCGGUGAAAUGCGUAGAGACCGGGAAGAACACCAGUGGCGAAGGCGGCUACCUGGACAGGUACUGACGCUGAGGCGCGAAAGCGUGGGGAGCAAACAGG
rnacentral:rRNA from 1 species